rnacentral:rRNA from 1 species
AGCUUGCUUUUUAAGCUUAGUGGCGAACGGGUGAGUAACGCGUGAGUAACCUGCCCUAGAGUGGGGGACAACAGUUGGAAACGACUGCUAAUACCGCAUAAGCCCACGGUACCGCAUGGUACUGAGGGAAAAGGAUUUAUUCGCUUUAGGAUGGACUCGCGUCCAAUUAGCUAGUUGGUGAGGUAACGGCCCACCAAGGCGACGAUUGGUAGCCGGACUGAGAGGUUGAACGGCCACAUUGGGACUGAGACACGGCCCAGACUCCUACGGGAGGCAGCAGUGGGGGAUAUUGCACAAUGGGGGAAACCCUGAUGCAGCGACGCCGCGUGGAGGAAGAAGGUUUUCGGAUUGUAAACUCCUGUCGUUAGGGACGAUAAUGACGGUACCUAACAAGAAAGCACCGGCUAACUACGUGCCAGCAGCCGCGGUAAAACGUAGGGUGCAAGCGUUGUCCGGAAUUACUGGGUGUAAAGGGAGCGCAGGCGGGAAGACAAGUUGGAAGUGAAAACCAUGGGCUCAACCCAUGAAUUGCUUUCAAAACUGUUUUUCUUGAGUAGUGCAGAGGUAGAUGGAAUUCCCGGUGUAGCGGUGGAAUGCGUAGAUAUCGGGAGGAACACCAGUGGCGAAGGCGGUCUACUGGGCACCAACUGACGCUGAGGCUCGAAAGCAUGGGUAGCAAACAGGAUUAGAUACCCUGGUAGUCCAUGCCGUAAACGAUGAUUACUAGGUGUUGGGGGAUUGACCCCCUCAGUGCCGCAGUUAACACAAUAAGUAA